UACAGAGGUCCCAAGCGUUGUUCGGAAUUACUGGGCGUAAAGCGCGCGUAGGCGGACCUGCAAGUCGGGGUGAAAGCCCGAGGCUCAACCUCGGAACUGCCUUCGAUACUGCGGGUCUCGAGUCCGGGAGAGGUGAGUGGAAUUCCGUAGUGUAGAGGUGAAAUUCGUAGAUAUUAGGAAGAACACCAGUGGCGAAGGCGGCAUCCUGGCCAUGUCCGUGACGCUCAGGGGCGAAAGCGUGGGGAGCAAACCGG
rnacentral:rRNA from 1 species